AACGCUGGCGGCGUGCUUAAUACAUGCAAGUCGAGCGAGCUACUUCGGUAGCGAGCGGCGCACGGGUGAGUAACGCGUAGAUGAUCUACCCUUGAGACGGAGAUACCUCCGGGAAACUGGAGUUAAUACCCGAUAACGCACAUUAGUUGGUUCUAAUGUGUUAAAGCGGUGCAAGUCGCACUUGAGGAUGAGUCUGCGGCCUAUCAGCUAGUUGGGUAGGGGUAACGGCCUACCAAGGCGAAGACGGGUAGCUGAUCUGAGAGGAUGAUCAGCCACAGUUGGGACUGAGACACGGCCCAAACUCCUACGGGAGGCAGCAGUAGGGAAUAUUGCGCAAUGGGGGGAACCCUGACGCAGCGACGCCGCGUGAGUGAUGACGGCCUUUUUGGUUGUAAAGCUCUGUAAAGAGGGAAAAAUGUUUAUGUGAAGAGCAUAAAUUGAUGGUACCUCUAAAGUAAGGACCGGCUAAAUACGUGCCAGCAGCGGC
rnacentral:rRNA from 1 species